AAGAAUUCCAGCUGAACCUAGUUGUUUUGAGUGCAGAUUUUGGACUUGUCCAAGAAACUGAGAAUGGCAUUUUGGGGGUGGCCAAUUGUGACCAGCUGCUGAAGCAUCGUAUGCCUCUCAAACAGCCUUGUGUUCCCAGCACUGAGAGUGCCCUUCUUCUGUUUUACGCUGAAGAGGUAAAUGGGGAUGACAGGCUUGGGG
rnacentral:lncRNA from 1 species